rnacentral:rRNA from 1 species
AGUGAACGCUGGCGGUAGGCCUAACACAUGCAAGUCGAACGGCAGCACCGUAAGAGCUUGCUCUUACGGGUGGCGAGUGGCGGACGGGUGAGGAAUACAUCGGAAUCUACUUUUUCGUGGGGGAUAACGUAGGGAAACUUACGCUAAUACCGCAUACGACCUACGGGUGAAAGCAGGGGAUCUUCGGACCUUGCGCGAUUGAAUGAGCCGAUGUCGGAUUAGCUAGUUGGCGGGGUAAAGGCCCACCAAGGCGACGAUCCGUAGCUGGUCUGAGAGGAUGAUCAGCCACACUGGAACUGAGACACGGUCCAGACUCCUACGGGAGGCAGCAGUGGGGAAUAUUGGACAAUGGGCGCAAGCCUGAUCCAGCCAUACCGCGUGGGUGAAGAAGGCCUUCGGGUUGUAAAGCCCUUUUGUUGGGAAAGAAAAGCAGCAGGUUAAUACCCCGCUGUUCUGACGGUACCCAAAGAAUAAGCACCGGCAAACUUCGUG